rnacentral:rRNA from 1 species
UACGUAGGGUGCGAGCGUUAAUCGGAAUUACUGGGCGUAAAGCGUGCGCAGGCGGUUCGUCAAGUCUGAUGUGAAAGCCCCGGGCUCAACCUGGGAACGGCAUUGGGAACUGGCGGGCUGGAGUGUGGCAGAGGGGGGUGGAAUUCCACGUGUAGCAGUGAAAUGCGUAGAGAUGUGGAGGAACACCGAUGGCGAAGGCAGCCCCCUGGGCCAACACUGACGCUCAGGCACGAAAGCGUGGGGAGCAAACAG